rnacentral:rRNA from 1 species
UACGAAGGGGGCUAGCGUUGCUCGGAAUCACUGGGCGUAAAGGGUGCGUAGGCGGGUCUUUAAGUCAGGGGUGAAAGAUUCGAGCUUAACUCGGAAACUGCCAUUGAUACUGAUGAUCUUGAAUACAGUUGAGGUAGGCGGAAUGUGUCAUGUAGCGGUGAAAUGCUUAGAUAUGACACAGAACACCGAUUGCGAAGGCAGCUUGCUAAACUGUUAUUGACGCUGAGGCACGAAAGCGUGGGGAUCAAACAGG